rnacentral:lncRNA from 1 species
UAUCUCAUAAUCCCAUCACGCCAAUUCGUUGAUCUAACUACUUCACCUCACUCCAACUACGUUUAUGUGAUGCCAUGGUGAGGCUAGCAAAAAACACGUUCUGCAUAUUUUGGGUUUUUAAAAGAAAAUACCAAAAGCAUAUUUGUAAAUAGAAAAUAAUUGCGAAUAAAACUUUUAUAUACAUGUUUAUAGUGAUCUA